rnacentral:rRNA from 1 species
GACGAACGCUGGCGGCGUGCCUAAUACAUGCAAGUCGAGCGAGUCUGCCUUGAAGAUCGGAGUGCUUGCACUCUGUGAAACAAGAUACAGGCUAGCGGCGGACGGGUGAGUAACACGUGGGUAACCUGCCCAAGAGAUCGGGAUAACACCUGGAAACAGAUGCUAAUACCGGAUAACAACAGAUGAUGCCUAUCAACUGUUUAAAAGAUGGUUCUGCUAUCACUCUUGGAUGGACCUGCGGUGCAUUAGCUAGUUGGUAGGGUAACGGCCUACCAAGGCGAUGAUGCAUAGCCGAGUUGAGAGACUGAUCGGCCACAUUGGGACUGAGACACGGCCCAAACUCCUACGGGAGGCAGCAGUAGGGAAUCUUCCACAAUGGACGCAAGUCUGAUGGAGCAACGCCGCGUGAGUGAAGAAGGGUUUCGGCUCGUAAAGCUCUGUUGUUGGUGAAGAGGGACAGGGGUAGUAACUGACCUUUGUUUGACGGUAAUCAAUUAGAAAGUCACGGCUAACUACGUG